CAGCCAGCCCCAUCUGGAAGACUAGUGAUUUUGUUGUUGUCUCACUGCGCUCAACAACAAGUCCCAGUCUGCCGCAUGGUGCCGGCUA
rfam:Camelus ferus unplaced genomic scaffold scaffold370, whole genome shotgun sequence.